CCACAUGAUACCAAGAUAUGCGCAGUCAUUUCGUUUCUGUGCUCCAAGCUGCAGAACUUCUUUCAAUUCAACCCCUUUCUGCCAUUAUUUACAUCCUUUGCCUUAGCCUGCCACCAUGGCUGCACUGGGGCUCUGCCUUGGAGCCUAUUUAGGAACAUCAGAAGGUUACAAUACCACUAAAAGUCAAGAGUCCAAUAACUCCUGGCAGUAUUUCUUUGGUCAGCUAUUUACUAACUACACCACCCACACAUGGUUGAUAAUUGGCAUCUUCAUUUUUAUCCUGGUCAUCCUCUGCAUUCUGUGCUGCCGACAAAGUACGUGGACCAUCAUAAGGACUCUCUGUUGUGGCAGUAUAACAGCUGUAUCACUUUUAAUAACCAUAAGUGUGUUUUACAUUUGCUUUUUCAAUGAAUUUCCUUUUUCUUGUUCAGGAUGUGUUCCAAAUGCCAGGGAAAAGUAAGCCUCCUGUCCUUCAUACACAUUUAAUGAAUAUGAGCACAUGUUCAUAACCAUUUUCUGAUUGUUCUCUCUGUGUCCUGUCAGUAGUUCCGAGACACCCCAGUGUGACCCUCAUGACAAUGAGGGUGUGGCCAUGUGUAAGUUUAGUCAUGCAGACACAUUCAUUUUUUUUAAUAUCUGUGGCCAUUCCAGUACCCUAUUUGAUAUUUAAUGUAAUAAUCUGUAUCUUAUGAAUGCCAUUUAACAGACAGCAACAUUGCUGGUGUCCCUAAUAGGGAAAAGACGAACUGCAUCACGAUGGACAGCACUGAGUCAAAGGUGGACAAACAUUAUCAAAUAGGAUCUGAUUUGUCAGUUAAAAUUUCCCAGCAAUUAAAUACAGUUCUUUACUGGAUGAUGGAGUGUCAGGUUCACUGAUAUUUAAAAACAAUAUUUUUUUCAUUAUUUUUUAUCCUCUCACUACAGAACCCAGAUUCCAAUGAAGUUUGUUAUGCCUCGGUGAAACACAGAGAUCACAGGGAAGCGCCUCACAGGAUCAGGUGUGGACAGGGUUCGGAGUAUGCUGCCAUUGUCUUUGAUAGGUCAAGCCUCGGAACUACAGGAAAUGUCCCGGAAAGGAAGUGGGAGUAAUACUCAGUCUCUUUAUGAAAGCCAGUGAUUCGUUUGCCUCGAUCUUCUAUCAAAUCUUGGAUUCUAAUAUUGUUGUGAUGAUUGUUUUAUCUCUUCAUGACAUUUGUGAUCUCCAUUUUUGCACCACAAGCUUCUGGAAAGUUCUGCUUGGUUCUACCAGACAUAUGCAAGUGAGAGCUUCUUUGCAGUGGUUGUCUAAAAUAACAAAAACCACAUUUAUUGUUGCAUGACUUUUACAAAUUUAACACAAAGAAUACUGGUUUUAAAUAGGCUUGCAUUUUGAAUAAGGUGAGAGUUCCUUUGUACAUGUUCCAUUGUAAGAGAAAAUCAAUAUUUAUAGUUGCAUGGCUUUUAGACAUCAAACACCAAGAAUAGUGUGUUUUAAGCAGUGUUGGUUUUUGAAUGAAACCACACUUGUCAGUUUGUUUUCACCCAGUUUGCAAAAGGAUCAGCAACUGAAAAUGAGUGUAUGUUUAUUAUUGAUAUGCACAGAAUGCACAGACUUACCUAGUAUUUUUUCACUUUUACAUUUAUUAGAUGCAUUUAUUUAAAGUGGCCAACAGGUUAAAAGCAAAAAAAUACAGCAAAUACAUAAAAAUAAAAGUUUUAAAACAAGGUAUAAAGCA
ensembl:lncRNA